rnacentral:rRNA from 1 species
AUUGAACGCUGGCGGCAUGCCUUACACAUGCAAGUCGAACGGCAGCACGGGUGCUUGCACCUGGUGGCGAGUGGCGAACGGGUGAGUAAUACAUCGGAACAUGUCCUGUAGUGGGGGAUAGCCCGGCGAAAGCCGGAUUAAUACCGCAUACGAUCUACGGAUGAAAGCGGGGGACCGUCGGGCCUCGCGCUAUAGGGGUGGCCGAUGGCUGAUUAGCUAGUUGGUGGGGUAAAGGCCUACCAAGGCGACGAUCAGUAGCUGGUCUGAGAGGACGACCAGCCACACUGGGACUGAGACACGGCCCAGACUCCUACGGGAGGCAGCAGUGGGGAAUUUUGGACAAUGGGCGAAAGCCUGAUCCAGCAAUGCCGCGUGUGUGAAGAAGGCCUUCGGGUUGUAAAGCACUUUUGUCCGGAAAGAAAUCCUUGGCCCUAAUACGGUCGGGGGAUGACGGUACCGGAAGAAUAAGCACCGGCUAACUACGUG